rnacentral:rRNA from 1 species
GGCGCACGGGUGAGUAACACGUGGAUAAUCUACCUUCGAAUCUGGGAUAACUAUCUGAAAAGGUAGCUAAUACCGGAUGAAGUCCUGACUACUUUGGUGGUUUGGAUGAAAGACAGCCUCUUCCUGAAAGCUGUUGUUUGAAGAUGAGUCCGCGCACCAUUAGCUGACUGGUGGGGUAACGGCCUACCAGGGCAACGAUGGUUAGCUGGUCUGAGAGGAUGAUCAGCCACACUGGAACUGACACACGGUCCAGACUCCUACGGGAGGCAGCAGUGAGGAAUUUUGCGCAAUGGGGGCAACCCUGACGCAGCAACGCCGCGUGAGUGAAGAAGGCCUUUGGGUCGUAAAGCUCUGUCGACAGGGAAGAAGUUACUUCAUAUUAAUAGUAUGUCGUAUUGACGGUACCUGUAGAGGAAGCAUCGGCUAACUCCGUGCCAGCAGCCGCGGUAAUACGGGGGAUGCAAGCGUUAUUCGGAAUCAUUGGGCGUAAAGGGCACGCAGGCGGCUCUGUCAGUCAGAUGUGAAAGCCCGGGGCUCAACCCCGGACGUGCAUUUGAAACAGCAGAGCUUGAGUACGGUAGAGGAAAGCGGAAUUCCUGGUGUAGAGGUGAAAUUCGUAGAUAUCAGGAGGAACACCGGUGGCGAAGGCGGCUUUCUGGACCGAAACUGACGCUGAGGUGCGAAGGCGUGGGUAGCGAACAGGAUUAGAUACCCUGGUAGUCCACGCAGUAAACGUUGUACACUAGGUGUAGCGGGUAUUGACCCCUGCUGUGCCGGAGCUAACGCAUUAAGUGUACCGCCUGGGGAGUACGGUCGCAAGACUAAAACUCAAAGAAAUUGACGGGGGCCCGCACAAGCGGUGGAGCAUGUGG